CAUAACAUUUCAAAAACAGUCUUCUAAACCUGCAUAUGAGUAGUUCCCACCUUACCUCAUUCUUUAAAACAAGAUUUUCAACACACUUAAGAAUUACCUUAGAGUUUGUGAAGAAUGCACAUUCCAUAGUUACGGAGCUGAGCUCCGGCAUUGCAUGUUAACCCGUGGGUUAUGAGAUUCUUACGUACAUGAUCAAUAUAAACUAUGCUUUGAAAAAAGGUUAUUUUCAGAUGGAAGUGGGCAACUGGGUUUCAAUGACCUCCCCACUUUUCCUGUUUUUCCUUCUCCACUUCCAUUCAGUCACUGCCUCAGAUUACUUUCUUAGACAUUCUCCUUCCACUUCUCAACAGAGAGGCAGCCUAUCCAGAGAAGGUCCAUGACAGAAUUUGGUCUCCCACUCAUCCUGUCCUCAAUCCACACUCCCAUCCUGCACUUCCUUUUUUAGCUCACUUGCUUAUGACAGUUUCAGAAUGGUUUUCUCUCCCACUUUGUUCCUUUGUCCACAGGCUCACCAUUAAUAUUUCUCCAGGCAUUUUGUUCUGGACCUCUGUGAACCACAAUGACAAUCUGAGAAUGCAUCUAGAGUGAGGUAAUCAUGGAAACCAUAUCCAUAAGGCCCAGAAAUGGGAACUAGGGUGUUUAGCUUAGAGGGAAUGGAUGUCUUAUGUCUUAUGUUAACUUAGAGGGAAUGAUAUCUUAUGUCUUAUGUUAACUUAGACUCAUUCUGUGCGGUUCUAUGAAUCCUAACUACAACAACUGAGUAAAAGUUAUGCAAAAGCAGAUUUUGGCUGAAGAUCAAGGAAAACUUCCUAAUGAAAUAGUAGCUUUGCAAAGUUCUAAAAAUCCAGUCACUAUGAGUGUUCAAAUAGAAGAUGGAGAAUUUCCCGUAAGCAUUUGGGGAAGGAAAAUAUUCUAUUAGUGAAGAUCAGAACUAUUCAUUUGUUCAUUACUCUAUAAACAUUUGUGUAGCACCCACUGUGUGGAUGGUGCCCCAAACAGUGGUGAUACAAAGAUAAAUAAGACUUAUUUCAUGUUUUGGAGGAGCUUAAGGUCUAGCAGAGAACCAGAUAUUUAAACAAAAACAUUGCAAUAUAGUGUGUUGA
rnacentral:lncRNA from 10 species